rnacentral:sRNA from 1 species
AUGUACCCACGUACACUCCGGUUCCUCCGCGCCGUCCGCACUCACCUGACGGCUGCUCGCUACGUUUUGUUAGAC